AGGAGGGAAAAGGAGUGAAGAGGAAGAGGGAGGAAGGACAUGGAAAAGAAGAGGCGGGGCAAAGCCCAGAGAAGAAAAAGAUGGACGAUGAAGCCAUGGCGUCAAUGUUGGCUGAUUUUGUGGCGUGUCCACCUGAUGAUGAAGACGGUGCUUCUGGAUCAAAAGCCUCAUAAAUAUUUGCCAACCUGAAAUGAAAUUAACACUGAUCUCUGGCUUCUGUGAGCAGAAUCUGGCAAAACAUGUAUCGUUAGUCACAUUCCCAAGGUUUAGUUACCUCAAACAUCGUGCUUUACAUCACGUGUCACAGCAGUUUAAUAUGGCGUUCAGUCUUUUAACCAUCGGGACCAUUUCUGGCUGGUCCGACUGUCAGCCCCGGGUUAUAAUUGGCUGUCAGGUGUAAGAGAACUCUUUUCUACGGCGGACCCAGUGUCCUCCCAGCAAGGAGGCAAAGCUCCGUGAAAUGUGUUAACCUGAUGACUUUGUUGUUCUUUACAGCACAAGUAUCUUCCAGCUAGUUUGCAGUUUUACUUUUGUUUGUAUGCAUCUUUUUUGCUCUCAUGGUUUGGCAUCAACGUCAUGCUUUCUUAAAAAAAUAAAAUGUACUUCCAUUA